rnacentral:lncRNA from 1 species
UCCUGUCGAUUUUCUUCAGACACAGUAGAAAAACACCUUCUGCUCCAUUUAUCUACUUGGAGCAAAAUUUUCAUCUGCAAUGAAUGUAGUUCAUCAAUUUCAUUCUUCACUGGUGUGGCUUGAACGGUAGUUGAACCUGCAGUUAUAUUUAAUUCAUCAUCAAUACAUGUGGUCCCAGACUAGAUGGAGGGCUAUCAUCAUCCAUUUCUGAAGUUUUUUAACAGAAUCCAAUCCGGAAAAGACACGGUUGGAUCUCCGCCUCACCAAUGGCUGUUCGUGUAGAUCUUCAGUUCCAUAUUGAACAAAUGAGUUUCUUGCCACCAGUUUAAAAUGGUUAAAGGUUCCUCUGUUGAAUGCACUAAUGUCUUGCCACUACCACCAGACAAAAUCAACAAUCAGGAAUGAGCUCAGCUGUUUGAAAGCGUUAAACAAAUACACAAUAAAAAAUGCACUAUGGUUAAAAUAUUCUAAACAUUUCAUAUGGAGAUACACGGAGGAAUCAUAACCAUUAAUUAUUAUUUUUUAUCAGUAAAAUAAACUUAUAUUAAUAAUCAGGUGUCAGAUUGGAAAUCACCCUCCAAAAAAAAUUGAAAUCGGUAGAAAAAUGUUAUAUACUUCUGAUAACAUCAUCCUAAUCAGUUAUCACAAUUGAGAAAAAUAUGCAUUCUAUGAGCUGUUGGCUGAUGGUUCAGUAUGCAGAACACUGGUCUGCGGUAUAUAUAAAUUAUAGGAAGAAUUUUCACUUUUCAGUAAGUAAAUCUUUUUUAUCAAUUGUAGGAAGAAUUUUCACUUUUCAGAAAAUUCCGUACUUACUAACAACAAAUUUAGUUUUUGUUUUCAAUCAAAACCAAAGAUCAACAUUAAGCUUUACCAAGAAAUGGAUUUUUACCUCGACCAUGGCCACAGCUUCUCCUUGCAUCUCAAGUGUCGCUACUAACUCUCCGCCAUAUACCACUCAAGAUCAGUAGAAGAAGAUUCGGAUGUUGGAGGACUUCUGGAAGCAUAAAUUUUUUGUCCAGCUUGUCAU